CACAAUAAUAUGUGACUGCAAUGGUGGCUGGUAUUUGCCGGGUGGCUAAUUGAUGAUAUGAAAUAAAUGUCUGAGUGAUGGUAUAGCUUGGCAAGGUGUUGCUCUCGUUCGGUCGUUUUCAUCCGUUGCCCUCGUUGUGAAGAUUAUGGAUAUUGGUCAAAUGGUGGUCCAGGUAGCUGAGGGUGUGGUGGGAAGGAUUGGUCAGGAUACCUUGGUGGAAAGUAUUGGUAAGGCUGGUUUGGUGGCAAGUAUCCGUAAUAUUGAUAUGGGAAUGGCUUAGGUUGCCAAGGUACUGGUGGCCAAUGUCGACCAUAAUAAG